rnacentral:rRNA from 1 species
GACAGAGGCCACGAACGUUGUUCGGAAUUACUGGGCGUAAAGCGCACGUAGGUGGUUUGUUAAGCUAGCUGUGAAAUCCCCGGGCUCAACCUGGGCACUGCAGUUAGAACUGGCAAGCUAGAGUAGGGUAGAGGGGUGUGGAAUUCCAGGUGUAGCGGUGAAAUGCGUAGAUAUCUGGAGGAACAUCAGUGGCGAAGGCGACACCCUGGACUCAUACUGACACUGAGGUGCGAAAGCGUGGGGAGCAAACAGG